rnacentral:rRNA from 1 species
ACGGGAGGCAGCAGUGGGGAAUAUUGCACAAUGGGGGAAACCCUGAUGCAGCGACGCCGCGUGAGUGAAGAAGUGAUUCGUCACGUAAAGCUCUAUCAGCAGGGAAGAAAAUGACGGUACCUGACUAAGAAGCCCCGGCUAACUACGUGCCAGCAGCCGCGGUAAUACGUAGGGGGCAAGCGUUAUCCGGAUUUACUGGGUGUAAAGGGAGCGUAGACGGCGGUGCAAGUCUGAAGUGAAAUGCCAGGGCUCAACUCUGGAAUUGCUUUGGAAACUGUGCUGCUAGAGUGCAGGAGAGGUAAGCGGAAUUCCUAGUGUAGCGGUGAAAUGCGUAGAUAUUAGGAGGAACACCAGUGGCGAAGGCGGCUUACUGGACUGUAACUGACGUUGAGGCUCGAAAGCGUGGGGAGCAAACAGGAUUAGAUACCCUGGUA